UACGGAGGGGGCUAGCGUUGUUCGGAAUUACUGGGCGUAAAGCGCACGUAGGCGGCUUUGUAAGUUAGAGGUGAAAGCCCGGGGCUCAACUCCGGAAUUGCCUUUAAGACUGCAUCGCUCGAAUUGUGGAGAGGUAAGUGGAAUUCCGAGUGUAGAGGUGAAAUUCGUAGAUAUUCGGAAGAACACCAGUGGCGAAGGCGACUUACUGGACACAUAUUGACGCUGAGGUGGCGAAAAGCGUGGGGAGCAAACAGG
rnacentral:rRNA from 1 species